ACACACACAGAACACAUACAUAUACAGACACACACAAAUAUACAGACACAAAGAGAUACACAUACACACACAAAACACACACAUACAUACACAGACACACACAAAUAUACAGACACACACAGAGACACACAGAGAUACACACACAAACAUACACACACAGACACACACAAAUAUAGACACACACAGAGAUACACAAACAUACACACAGAACACACACAUACAUACACAGACACACAAAUAUACAGACACAGAGAUACACACACACACAGAGAACACAUACAUACAUAGACACACACAAAUAUACAGAGAUACACAUACACACACAGAACACACACAUACAUACACAGACACACACAAAUAUACAGACACAGAGAUACACACACACACAGAGAACACAUACAUAGACACACACAAAUAUACAGAGAUACACAUACACACACAGAACACACACAUACAUACACAGACACACAAAUAUACAGACACACAGAUACACAUACACACACAGAACACACACAUACAUACACACACACAAAUAUACAGACACACACAGAGAGACACAGAGAACACACACAUACAUAGACACACACAAAUAUACAGACACACACAGAGAGACACACAGAGAUACUCACACAAACAUACACACAGAACACACACAUACAUACACACACAAAUAUACAGAUACACACAGACAGACACACAGAGAUACACACACACACAGAACACACACACAUACACAGAUACAAAUAUACAGACACACACAGACACAGAUACACAAACAUACACACAUGCACAGAACACACACAGACACACAUACACAGACAUGCAGAUACACACACACAUUGACACACAUACAAACACACACAGUAGCGCACACACACAGACACAGACACAGCCAGACACACACAGAGACACAGAGAUGCACCACACUGAAUCCUGUAGGAAGAGCCCAAAUGCCCGUCACAGGCCAAGCUCAGUUCCCUGACAUCUCCAGAUCCAGCAAAGACCACAUCCUCAUCUGCAUAUGCAGCUAACAAAAUACCAACGCUGCACAAGUGAUAAAGAGCAAACAUUUAUUUCCUCCCCAUUCCAGAGGCUGAGAAGUCCAGGGUCCAGGCACCAGCAGGUUUGGUGUCUGCGAGGGCCGCUCUCUGCUCCCAGGACGGCACCUUGUGCUGCCACCUCUGGGGUGGAAGGUGAGGGACAGGUGCGGAACAGGCGCUGUGUGAGCCUCCUUCACGAGAGCCUUGAUUCCCUCAGGAGGAGCAGCCCUCACGGCCUCACCAGCUCUUGGUGGCCCCACCUCUUUGCACCAUCCCUUUGGCCAUUAUGUCUCAACCCCUGGGGUCAGACUCAGACUUGAUGCCCAAGAUCUGACCAGGAGCCAUGGGGUGCUGGCACCGUCCCAGGCUCUGGCAUUACAGGGCAGACAUGAAACACUGUGGAC
rnacentral:lncRNA from 1 species